GAAACUAACCAGGAUUCCCCCAGUAACGGCGAGUGAACGGGGAUUAGCCCAGCAUCGAAGCCUAUGGUCAUUUGACUGUAAGGCAAUGUGAUGUUAUGGAUCAUGCCUAGGGUCACUGGUCAACUCGAAGUCCAAUAUUGAAUGUGGCUUUUGUAUAUGGCCCAAAGCGGGUGAUAGGCCCGUGCGAGUUGACUGUGAGCGGUGUUGAGUGGCCUCUAGAUGCAUUGAUCUUUGGAGUCGGAUUGCUUGAGAAUGCAGUCCAAAGUUGGUGGUAAACUCCAUCAAAGGCUAAAUACUGGCGCGAGUCCGAUAGCAAACAAGUACCGUGAGGGAAAGUUGAAAAGUACUCUGAAGAGAGAGUAAAUAGUACGUGAAACCACAUGAAGGUAAACGGGUGGAGUCCAGCUGCUUGCCUUGAGGAUUUAGCCAGCCUGUGCACCAUGGGUGUUGUGAACUGCCAUGCAGUGGUUUGUCGUUGAAAGACGAGUUAAGCUUUGCUUAAUCCACGUGCUGCCUUGUAGGUGGUGUGGGCCCUGUGUGAAUUUGUGUGUGUGUUCGCAGGCUGGUGUCAUUCCUCUUGGCUAACAUCACAGUCAAUAUUGCUGCUAGUAUGUGACGCGUCAAACCUUCAGACGGUGGGCCUUGAAGUUCACCUCUGUCGGGAUGGCAGGUGGUGUGCGUGUGUGCGCCUUCGGGUGUGUACGUGCGCGCUUAAACAUGGCUUCGGCCAGCCGACCGUCAUGUUGUGCAAUCUGGUUUACUUUUAACUAUGCAGUAUAUUGGUCAUAGCAUGUGCUUAUUGCGCGGCCAGUUGUUCGUGUAUCCAACUUGGGCCCAUGCAUGGGUUAUGUGUAAAAGCGUGCCCGUUGUGGAGUCUGGUUGUGUGCGUGAACAAUGAAGCCGUACUGUACGUGUAAACUGUGGUGCUGUGGUA
rnacentral:rRNA from 1 species